rnacentral:lncRNA from 12 species
UUGUCACUCCCAGAAGUUCACUCUGUAAAACAUUCACUUCCAUGUCUCCCUUUGGUUUGGAAUUUUCCUAAUGGCAAUCUAAUGAGAAAAGGAACUUUUUGUUCUUAUCCCCAUCACGGUAUUUAAAACGUUCAUGGGCAUUGAUGUACUUAGCACACCGUCAGCGCCCUUGGUACUGGACAGAGUUUGUGACAUGGGAGAAGGGAGGAAUAGAAGCAGACGAGACUAAAAAAGACCUUUUAUUUUUAGGUCAACAAAUCAGAAAUAGAGGUUUUCAAAAACAAAAGAAAGAAAAGAAACUUCUUUCAAUAAACAGUGUGAAGACAUUGGAAGCAGUUCCUAGGAGCAGCAGUCUCCUGUUGCAGCUCUAG